rnacentral:RNase_P_RNA from 1 species
GGUGUCCGGCCAGGCAGUCGCUCUCCGCUUCGGCGGGGGGAGGAAAGUCCGAACACCACCGGGCAAGGUGCCCCGAGAAAUCGGGGGUCUCACAGGCCAUAUCCUGUGGGAACGGAAAGUGUCACAGAAAAUACACAUCCCCUUCUCUCAAUUCGUUGGGAGAGGGAGAAACGGUGAAAAGGUGGUGUAAGAGACCACCGCAUCCCGAGCAAUUGGGAUGGUCCCGGAAGGGAUCCUGACGGCGAGGAUGUCGCCAUCGGGACACGACAAACCCCACCUGGUGCAAGACCAAACAAGUUCCGCGCCCCGUUGCACGCCGUCGGCGGUCAACGGGGGAAGAGCGGCCCGCUCAACCCUCUUGCAGGCAACGGAACGGGUAGGUCGCAUCAGAUAAAUGACUGCCUCUUCUCCCUCGGGAGAACAGACAGAAUUCGGCUUAUCGGCCGACAUCUCCU